AGUGAACGCUGGCGGUAGGCCUAACACAUGCAAGUCGAACGGCAGCACAGUAAGAGCUUGCUCUUGCGGGUGGCGAGUGGCGGACGGGUGAGGAAUACAUCGGAAUCUACUUUUUCGUGGGGGAUAACGUAGGGAAACUUACGCUAAUACCGCAUACGACCUACGGGUGAAAGCAGGGGAUCUUCGGACCUUGCGCGAUUGAAUGAGCCGAUGUCGGAUUAGCUAGUUGGCGGGGUAAAGGCCCACCAAGGCGACGAUCCGUAGCUGGUCUGAGAGGAUGAACAGCCACACCUGGACUGAGACACGGUCCCGACUCCCUAGGGAGGCAACAGUUGGGAAAAUUGGGAAAUGGGCGCAAGCCUUAUCCAGCCAUACCGCGUGGGUGAAGAAGGCCUUCGGGUUGUAAAGCCCUUUUGUUGGGAAAGAAAAGCAGCAGGUUAAUACCCCGCUGUUCUGACGGUACCCAAAGAAUAAGCACCGGCUAACUUCGUG
rnacentral:rRNA from 1 species